CUAUAUUAAAAUCAGAUAAUAAUCUAUGAAAAAAAGCUUCCAGAAGCCGAAACCAAGAAUACGAACAACUUUCUGAAUGUAGAAAUAAUUUUAACCAUAUAAAUUGAUCCAUUUGUGAAGCACCGAUGACUCACACAGCUUCAAACAAUACAAAAUUUGAGUCACAUUCGAUGAGCAUGGCUCCGAAAAGUAAGGCCGCUAUGAAUCAUCGAUGAUGUACAUGGCAGUCAAUGUGUUAAAGUGCAUGUACAAACUCAAUUACUAAAAUAAAAUAAUUUUUUAGCUAAUCGUGCAUAGUUUAAUAUCUGUACAGCUUAAAAAGAACUGUGUAAACUGUUUCAUUUGACUUAUGAAUAAUUUAAUGGGCAGUUUUUUUAUUACGCACAUCGGUGCUACAUAAACUGCCAUAAAAAAUCAGCAAGAAUAAGCUAAUGUUUGGUCUUCAUGACAGCUGGACGUGCUAGUCAUGAGAACAGGCAAAGGCCAAAUGCGAUAAUUCUUUAUAUCAUGACCUGCAUUCUCAAAUAUAAUUUUUUAAAACUGUUUUCGAUAAUUCGAAUAAUGUUAUAUACCAAGUUCGCAAUGCCAAAAAUGAAAAAAGUGCCAAGCAUAUUAAAAAAUUUGUUUAAAUUAUAGCGAUUUAAAAAUCUGGCUAAAUGAUAAAUGUACGAAUUAUUCAAACUUAUUUAAAAUUUAUAAAAAGUAUUGUCAGUCUGUUAUUGAACAGUUACAUUAUUUAUUAUAUUUGUGAGACGAAAAUGCAUAGUUUCUAGAGAUUCUUAGAUUCAAUAACGGUAACUGUUAAAAGUUAGCUUUAAAAAAAAAAUGUGGAUAUUGUCUUUAAAUAUGAUUAAAAAAAUGGCAUAACAUUUGCAUCAUAUUCAAAUAUCACACGAAAUAAUUUUUAAAAAAGUUUCCCUUUAUUUAAUUAACAGGGCAUAACAUGAAAUCAUUCACAAAUAUUCAAACGUGAUGAAAUCGUUCAUCGCCUUAUUUGUGACGGAAUAAAACAAAAUGCAGUAAACUCUCUAGUUGCGUCCAUCUCUGAAAAGAACAAAAUAUUUCUAAGACUAAUAUCGGUACUGAAAAUCACUUUCGCACAAGAUCGAAAUCAUAUGGAACCUUGAGAAGUAGAGAGGAUCACCUCAAAAACAGUAUUGUCAGUGUAUGGUGUCUAAAACACAGGACUAGUCACCUGGUGAAGUACAGGUGACAUAAUUUUUAGAAUUCAGGAAGUUACUUGAUGGCAAAAUCUUGAAGAUAUAUAGAUUACAUUGGGAAGCCAGUCAGAACGUUCUCUUCCUUUUUUAAACCUCUUGCUACUGAACAAGGACCAAAAUUCUUAUGCAUAUAUGACAUGUUCUUGUAUUGCCUUCUUUAUAGAUCUUAAUAAAUUUUAAAACAAA